UGGGGAAUAUUGGACAAUGGGCGCAAGCCUGAUCCAGCAAUGCCGCGUGUGUGAAGAAGGCCUUCGGGUUGUAAAGCACUUUUAUCAGGAGCGAAACGCUGCCGGCUAAUACCCGGCGGAACUGACGGUACCUGAGGAAUAAGCACCGGCUAACUUCGUGCCAGCAGCCGCGGUAAUACGAAGGGUGCAAGCGUUAAUCGGAAUUACUGGGCGUAAAGCGUGCGUAGGCGGUUUCUUAAGUCUGCUGUGAAAUCCCCGGGCUCAACCUGGGAAUGGCAGUGGAUACUGGGAGGCUAGAGUGUGUCAGAGGGUGGUGGAAUUCCCGGUGUAGCGGUGAAAUGCGUAGAGAUCGGGAGGAACAUCAGUGGCGAAGGCGGCCACCUGGGGCAACACUGACGUUGAGGCACGAAAGCGUGGGGAGCAAACAGGAUUAGAUACCCCUGGUAGUCCACGCCCUAAACGAUGCGAACUGGAUGUUGGUCUCAACUCGGAGAUCAGUGUCGAAGCUAACGCGUUAAGUUCGCCGCCUGGGGAGUACGGUCGCAAGACUGAAACUCAAAUGAAUUGAC
rnacentral:rRNA from 1 species